rnacentral:rRNA from 1 species
CGGACGGGUGCGUAACGCGUGGGAAUUUACCUUGUAGUGGGGGAUAGCCCGGAGAAAUUCGGAUUAAUACCGCAUAAUCUCUACGGAGCAAAGUGGGGGAUCUUCGGACCUCACGCUAUUAGAUGAGCCCGCGUUAGAUUAGCUUGUUGGUGAGAUAAUGGCUCACCAAGGCAACGAUCUAUAGCUGGUUUGAGAGGAUGAUCAGCCACACUGGGACUGAGACACGGCCCAG